GAUGAACGCUGGCGGCGUGCCUAAUACAUGCAAGUCGAACGAGUUCUGGUUAAUGAUGGCGGUGCUUGCACCAAUAGAUUUAACAUUUGAACGAGUGGCGGACGGGUGAGUAACACGUGGGUAACCUGCCCUAAAGUGGGGGAUAACAUUUGGAAACAGAUGCUAAUACCGCAUAAAUCUUGGAACCUCAUGGUUCCAAGCUGAAAGAUGGCGUAAGCUAUCGCUUUUGGAUGGACCCGCGGCGUAUUAGCUAGUUGGUGAGGUAAAGGCUCACCAAGGCGAUGAUACGUAGCCGACCUGAGAGGGUGAUCGGCCACAUUGGGACUGAGACACGGCCCAAACUCCUACGGGAGGCAGCAGUAGGGAAUCUUCCACAAUGGACGAAAGUCUGAUGGAGCAACGCCGCGUGAGUGAAGAAGGGUUUCGGCUCGUAAAACUCUGUUGUUAAAGAAGAACAGGUGUAAGAGUAACUGUUUACACCGUGACGGUAUUUAACCAGAAAGCCACGGCUAACUACGUGCCAGCCGCCGCCGUAAAAC
rnacentral:rRNA from 1 species